rnacentral:rRNA from 1 species
GACGAACGCUGGCGGCGUGCUUAACACAUGCAAGUCGAGCGGUAAGGCCCUUUCGGGGGUACACGAGCGGCGAACGGGUGAGUAACACGUGGGUGACCUGCCCUCAGCUCUGGGAUAAGCCUGGGAAACCGGGUCUAAUACCGGAUAUGACUCCAUGACGCAUGUUGUGGGGUGGAAAGCCCUGUGCGGCUGAGGAUGGGCCCGCGGCCUAUCAGCUUGUUGGUGGGGUGAUGGCCUACCAAGGCGACGACGGGUAGCCGGCCUGAGAGGGCGACCGGCCACACUGGGACUGAGACACGGCCCAGACUCCUACGGGAGGCAGCAGUGGGGAAUCUUGCGCAAUGGGCGAAAGCCUGACGCAGCGACGCCGCGUGA